UGUCCAGUAGCACCUUAGAGACCAACUAAGUUUGUUCUGGAUAUAAGCUUUCAUGUGCAUGCAGACCCAGAACAACUUAGUUGGUUUCUAAGGUGCUACUGGACA